rnacentral:tmRNA from 1 species
GGGGGCGUUUGGUUUCGACGGGGGCAGUUCGAGCACGGGCCGCGGGUAGUGGGGCCGCGUCCACUUCAACACCGCGGGGCCAAAUUUAAGUGGCAACAAGCAAAACGCUCAACUGGCUCUGGCUGCCUGAUCACGCAGCCGCCAGGCUUCUACCCCUCAUCGCCCAUGUGAGGGGAUAGGGGCUCAACCGAGUGGGCUACGCCGUCCGGCCGCCGCCCGAGGCCGACGGAAGAAGACAAUCGGGCUGGCCUGAAGGGAAGCCCGUCGCGGGGCGUCCCGAAGGCGAGACGAAUACCGCGACUACACCCGUAGACGCCGGUGUGGCGAUGUCUCCGGACAGGGGUUCGAUUCCCCUCGCCUCCAUUA